UACAGAGGGGGCAAGCGUUGUUCGGAAUUACUGGGCGUAAAGGGCGCGUAGGCGGCCUUCUAAGUCGAACGUGAAAUCCCCAGGCUCAACCCGGGAACUGCGUCCGAUACUGGAAGGCUUGAAUCCGGGAGAGGGAUGCGGAAUUCCAGGUGUAGCGGUGAAAUGCGUGGAUAUCUGGAGGAACACCGGUGGCGAAGGCGGCAUCCUGGACCGGUAUUGACGCUGAGGCGCGAAAGCCAGGGGAGCAAACGGG
rnacentral:rRNA from 1 species